ensembl:lincRNA
UCAGAGAGAGCUAGUUUAUACGAGUCUCUGCUAAUGCUCUGCAUGGUUAUGCCUGAGUUAUUUAUUAUGGACUUCGUUAUUAACCUGUUUGAUUUGUAAUUUUAUUGCAUAUGUAUUUUCAGUGGAGAUAUUUACACUGAGCUUUAUUUAUUUAUACCAUAGUAUAUUAACCAUAAAGCUAUCUAAGUAUGCCCAAACCACUAUGAUCUGCAGCCCUCAGGGAAAGGGGUUUUCAGGAUAGCCAAGUCUUAAGAGUUAGCAGUGGCUGAUGGUGUUGGAAAUCUUGCUAAAGGACCUUUGGGGUUAUGAGCAGAGACUCAUAAAAUGUUGAUGCUAACCCAGGGUCUGCAGUACAAGAUGGACUGCUUAGAGGACUUGCUACCUGUUUGUUUUAGUUCCUUCUGACAUUCCUUGAACUGGUUCUGUGCCCUCCAUUGCUGCCAGCAGUAUUUCUCCUGGUCCUGCUGUAGAUUCCCUAUGCCCUAGCUUGGCUUUGUAGAUUUGGAGACUAGGUCAUAGAGCUUGCCUCUAAUGUGGAAUGGUCACUUGCAGGCACCACCUUAAGGACCAGCAUGCAGUUCUGUGAGUUCUGUUGUUUCGUUUUUACCACUAAAGUGACAGGAUGGGGACUUGCCCUGACUCCUCCUUUCCCAUCUUUGGUGUCCCAUAUUUCCCCCUAAGACCCAUUCUAAUCUGAGGAGGGGAACACUGGGAUUUAAGCUAAUUAAACACACUCAAGAAUAAGAAAGUCAAGCUUAGAACAGGCCAUAUCUAAAGUUCGGUUUAUUAAGCACUGCCUUUAUGGUGAUAGUGUUUGUCUUCUCAGUUCUUCUCUGUCUGUCUUUGUGGAGCUGCUCACAGACAAAGCACCCUGUGCAUGCUAGGCAAGCGCCUUACCCAUGAGAGCAUCCUCAAAUCCUUCCUUCACUUCCAACUCCCAAACAGACCUCCUUUUGUCUUGUACUCUUGGGGACUAAAGCUAAAGCUUUAAUUCUUGAAAAGCUCCGAAAAGACCCAUAAUGACUCUAAGUCUUCUCUCUGCUGUGCAUGUUGUUAAGGUUCAUCAGACACUCCAUCCUCCUUGACACCGUCACUGUUGGGUGUGCCACCAGGUGACCCUUAGGCUCAAAGCCUCAGGACUCAUAAGCUCCUUUUCACAUGCUCUGGGUCUUCAGGGACUUGCCUCCUCAAGUCUUCAGAGCAUUCAGGAUUUAAGCUGUUCCAUUCUCUGAACUGAGCGGCCUGCGAAGCCUAUGCCUCAAGAGUCUGGCUCCAGGUCAUGCCACAGUUAGUACCUUCGGGUAGACCUAGAUCCUCUGUUUUCAGGGCCCAUAGGGUUUGCUUCUUAUUCCAUAAUAAGAGUGUGGGUUGAAUAACAGGGAAGACCUAGUUAUGACUGUGUAGAUAGGGCUGCCAAACCCUCUGCACAUGGUAUGUGGGGUCACACUGAGGGAGGAGGGAGAGGGAAUGUGAUCCAAGGGACAUGUGAUCCCGAGGGGGAUGUGGCUGGACAGUGGAGAGGACAUUCACAUGGGAUCUAGUGACUGACUCCAGCUGACUGCUCAGGCACAGUAAUUGGGGGAAGUUAGUAACAAACACGCUGGCUUUAGUGCUUACUGUAGUUACAAUGUUUUUAGAAAACUGGGUAUUUGUUUGGUUUGGUUUUGGCCAUAUAUUUGCUUAUUUGUUGUUAUUUUUCGAGAGUAUCUCCCGGUGUAGUCCAGGCUGGCCUUUAUUUUGAGAACCUCCUGCCUCCAUUUCCCAAAUGCUGGGGCCAUAGGUGUAUACCACCACACCAGCCUUACCAUGUUAUUAGUCAGUUAAUAAAAUUAUUGGUUUUCAAAACGAGGGACAUGAGCAUUUGGGAAUGAAGUUCAAUCCAUUUCUUUCUUUGCUUCGAUGCUGGAGAUUGAACCUAGGGUUUCAUACGUGUAGGCAGGUACUCACUAAGCUACUCCCAGCUCCUGGUACACUUCUCAGUGCAAAAACAGUGCUGAACCGCUUAGAGUAAAAGUGAAAAUUCUCUUCUCAGUUUAAAAAAUAUAGUUUUGAGAGUCUGGAAAACAGAAGUGCCUUUGCCAAGUAAUUACUUGUACAUUUGGAUUUGAUUGUGUGUGUGUGUGUGCAUGUGUGCACGUGUGUAUGUUCUAGAGUGCAUGUAUGUGUGUGUGUGCAUGCCAUGGGCAGAAUGUGGAACAGCUUUCAGGAGUCAGUGAUCUCCUUCCACCAUGUGGGUCUGAGGAAUUGAGCCCAAGUCACCGGCUUGGCAGCAAGAACCUUUAUCCACUGGACCACCUCAGCAGGUCCUUGUUUAGAGAGUCAGUGGUUUAUCAUGUUAGGAAUAGUUAAUGAUACCCAACAGCAAAUAAAGAAUCGUUAAUGACAGACUAUAGCAAGCCAGUGGUCUUUUAAGAUGUCAUAUAUUGUAUGGAUUAAUAUUUCAAUAAACCUCCAGAGAACUUGUA